UUUAAAACCGAUUUAAGCUGCGUAAAUAAGAUUUUAAGAAAAUUGUUUCGGCUAUGGUCGAUUUGCCAACAUUCAGGAUGCAGUUAGAGUAGAGCUCUAAACAAUACAAGAACAACAACAAAAACUCUAGUCACUUACCUGUAUGGACUAAUAAUAGCAGCAGGAAUCUUAAGCUCCCGAGUAAGUGGCCUCCAAGGCUUGUUCAUAAAAUCAGAAUCUUCAGCUUCCUAGUAAGCGGUCUCCAAGGCUUGUUCAUAAAAUCCUGCAUCUCCACACCUUCACCAUCUCCAUCACCAUCCUUACUACUCCCCAAGUUCCCAUCCUUGGUCCAAAAAGCAUUCCCAUACCCAUAAGUCCC
rnacentral:lncRNA from 1 species